rnacentral:RNase_P_RNA from 1 species
AGCUGCGUAAGCAGAGGAAAGUCCAUGCUCGCACCUCCUGUGAUGGGGGUAGUGAUUGUGCUAAGGGAACCAAUAACCUUAGGUAAGGAGGAGUCCUUAACGGCGGAGGAAGAUCUCCCGUAGAUCGGAAUCCCCAAGGUGCCACAGAGACGAGCUUGGCGGCGACGCCAAGAUGAAACGCGGUAAACCCCACAAGCGAGAAACCCAAAUUUGGUAGGGGAAGCCACCGAUCCGAAUCGAAGGAAAGGCGGCCGGCGCAAGCCGAGAUAAAUUGUCGUCCUCGACAGAACAUGGCUUACAG